rnacentral:rRNA from 1 species
GAUGAACGCUGGCGGCGUGCCUAACACAUGCAAGUCGAGCGAUCUUCUUCGGAAGAGAGCGGCGGACGGGUGAGUAACGCGUGGGUAACCUGCCCUGUACACACGGAUAACAUACCGAAAGGUAUGCUAAUACGAGAUAAUAUGCUUUUAUCGCAUGGUAGAAGUAUCAAAGCUUUUGCGGUACAGGAUGGACCCGCGUCUGAUUAGCUAGUUGGUGAGGUAACAGCUCACCAAGGCGACGACGGGUAGCCGGCCUGAGAGGGUGACCGGCCACACUGGGACUGAGACACGGCCCAGACUCCUACGGGGGGGCAGCAGUGGGGGAUCUUGCACAAUGGGCGAAAGCCUGAUGCAGCGACGCCGCGUGAGCGAAGAAGGCCUUCGGGUUGUAAAGCUCUGUCUGGAGGGACGAAGGAAGUGACGGUACCUCCGGAGGAAGCCACGGCUAACUACGUGCCAGCAGCCGCCGGUAAGAUCACGUGUA